rnacentral:rRNA from 1 species
UCUGGUGACCAUAGCAUGGUGGAACCACCCGGUCCCAUUCCGAACCCGGAAGUGAAACACUGUUGCGCCGAUGGU